AACGAACGCUGGCGGCAGGCCUAACACAUGCAAGUCGAACGCUCGUAGCAAUACGGGAGUGGCAGACGGGUGCGUAACACGUGGGAACAUACCCUUUGGUUCGGAAUAACUCAGGGAAACUUGAGCUAAUACCGGAUAAGCCCGAGAGGGGAAAGAUUUAUCGCCGAAGGAUUGGCCCGCGUCUGAUUAGCUAGUUGGUGAGGUAAUGGCUCACCAAGGCGACGAUCAGUAGCUGGUCUGAGAGGAUGAUCAGCCACACUGGGACUGAGACACGGCCCAGACUCCUACGGGAGGCAGCAGUGGGGAAUAUUGGACAAUGGGCGCAAGCCUGAUCCAGCCAUGCCGCGUGAGUGAUGAAGGCCUUAGGGUUGUAAAGCUCUUUUACCCGGGAAGAUAAUGACGG
rnacentral:rRNA from 1 species